rnacentral:lncRNA from 10 species
ACAUUUUCCUGGAGCGGCUGGGAAAGAGGAGUCUCUCGAAAUUCAGCAACUGCUAACAGCGAGGAGGGGUUUUGAAAGGUAAAGGCCAUUAGCUUGGAGGCAGAAGACAGACCUCCCUGACUGCUGAAUUCCUGCCGGCCUGAAAUUGGAGCAUUCCAAGCUCCUCAGAUGAGUCAUAAGCCACCAAGAUUGUGAGCCUCUGGGCUUCUCCCAGCUUGUAGGAGAAAUGCCUUGCAGGUGAAGAUGGUGAGGAAGUUGGCCCUGAAAUAGCCCAGCCCCUCGAAGAGACAAACAGGGAGGAGCAUCAUUCAGGUGCUUCACUGGGAAAUGAACCAGGAUAAUGUUCAUCUUAAAAUAACCUACUUCAAUGAACAUUCGGCCAAAAGACAAAAGGAAGGUAUUGCUAGGUAAUGUGCAGCCACUCUGUCACAGUCUUUUUUUUUUAAAUGAACACAAAUUCCUUGACUGUCUUCUUGCUGAGAGGUGAGGUCUCUGUCCCCCUCCUCUCCCUACUUGAAUCUGGAUGAGCUUGUGACUCACUUAUAACCAAGAAUAUGGAAGAAGUGAUGCUGUGUGAUCUCCUCAUGCCUGGAGCCUGUGAGCCUCUCUCUGAGAAGUCCAGUGCCCCUGAGCCCACCAUGCUGAAGAAGCCACCUGGAGAAGCCCCUGUUGACAGAGAGCCAGCAUCACCUGCCAGUCACCAGAAGGGAGCCAUCUCAGACAUCCAGCCCAGCUGAGCCUUCAACUGACUGCUGCCCCAACCAACAUGUGAACUGCAACCGCAUGAGAGACCCUCAAGUGAGAACCGCCCAGCUGAGCCUUUCCCAAGUUCCUGGCCCACAAAACCCAGAACAAAUUAAAAUGAGUGUUUUAAGCCAUUAAGGAGCAGGGUAAUUUGUUACACAGCAACAGUAACCAGGACACAUUCCCAAACCUAACUAGGAGGAAAUUUCCUCUUGAUAAAAAUGCUGAUUUUUUUAUUCAUCCUAGACCUUCAUAAGUCAGAAUCAUCUGUGGAUAAGGUAUAAGAAUCUGCAUUUUUUUUAAGACAAGCUCUCCCACCCCAGGUGAUUCAGAUGCACAGCCAGGUUUGGAAAUUUAAGACCUUGGAAGAGAGUCACAUUGCCUCUCUCUGAGUCUCAGCUUCCUUGUCUGUGAAUUGGGGAGGAGUGAGAGUUGGUGUGAGUAUCAAAGAAGACGCUGCAGGUAAAGUCUUUAGGGCCAGCCAGGCGUAGUGGCUCAUGCCUGUAAUCCCAGCACUUUGGGAGGCCAAGGCGGGUGGAUCAUGAGGUCAGGAGUUCAGCCUGGCCAAUAUGAUGAAACACUGUCUCUAUUAAAAAUACAAAAAAAUUAGCCAGGCAUGGUGCCAGGUGCCUGUAGUCCCAGCUACUCAGGAGGCUGAGACAGGAGAAUCGCUUGAGCCCAGGAAGCGGAGGUUGCAGUGAGCCGAGAUCACACCACUGCACUCCAGCCUGGGCGACAGAGCAAGACUCUGAGAAA